rnacentral:rRNA from 1 species
GAUGAACGCUGGCGGCGUGCCUAAUACAUGCAAGUCGAGCGAACAGACGAGGAGCUUGCUCCUCUGACGUUAGCGGCGGACGGGUGAGUAACACGUGGAUAACCUACCUAUAAGACUGGGAUAACUUCGGGAAACCGGAGCUAAUACCGGAUAAUAUAUUGAACCGCAUGGUUCAAUAGUGAAAGACGGUUUUGCUGUCACUUAUAGAUGGAUCCGCGCCGCAUUAGCUAGUUGGUAAGGUAACGGCUUACCAAGGCGACGAUGCGUAGCCGACCUGAGAGGGUGAGCGGCCACACUGGAACGGAGACACGGUCCAGACGCCUACGGGAGGCAGCAGUAGGGAAUCUUCCGCAAUGGGCGAAAGCCUGACGGAGCAACGCCGCGUGAGUGAUGAAGGUCGUCGGAUCGUAAAACUCUGUUAUUAGGGAAGAACAAAUGUGUAAGUAACUAUGCACGUCUUGACGGUACCUAAUCAGAAAGCCACGGCUAACUACGUGC